AUACUUAAAAACAAAGAUUUUGAAAUUUAUUUUUGUUAAAAAUGUACCAAAUUCCUGGACCUCUGGUCAUUAUCAAACAAUUUAAAAAUAUAAAAUAUAUUCACUUGAUCUGGUAUUUAUUAGUGGUUUGUAUUUUAUUAAGUGAAUACAAUAUAGCGAACGCUUUUAUUUUUUUCCUAUCAAAUUAGUUUUAUGAGAACAGUUGAGAUAUAUACAUCUUCCCUUCCUAGAGUGUAUUAAGCUUGGUGGGUUCACACUGGAGCGAAUGGCAGGCGAUUUUUAAAGCACAGCUGUGGUUUUGUGUGAAAGUGACAAAAUUUCGAACAGAAAUAAUUUGCUUUGGUAACAUUAAUUGUAUCAAAUGAGUGUUAAAAGAGGCAUAUACAAACAAAAAGAGAAAAUUUGUAUAUGGAUAGAUCGAUGCUCAAAUGUGAUCUAAAGGUUCAUUACAGCACAUUUCACAAAGAUCUUUAAAAAAAUACGUCAACUAGAAGCGGUGGAAUAGUACAUGAAAGUUCCCAUAAGAGAGCGUGGCCGAAAUUUAAUCUCUUUUACUUUCUAAAGUACAAAUGAAAGAAGCAUAAAUGGCUAUUUUUACUAUGGGAAAUCUCAUGCUUUGUCACACUGCCUAAGCUUGGUGGGUUCACACUAGAGCGAAUGGCAGGCGAUUUUUAAAGCACAGCUGUGGUUUUGUGUGAAAGUGACAAAAUUUCGAACAGAAAUAAUUUCCUUUGGUAACAUUAAUUGUAGCAAAUCAGUGUUAAAAGAGGCAUAUACAAACAAAAAGAGAAAAUUUGUAUAUGGAUAGAUAGAUGCUCAAAUGUGAUCUAAAGGUUACAUUACAGCACAUUUUCCAGAUGGGUACCAUACCACAAAGUUAUAUGUGAGUGCCUAUAUCUAGUUUAGUUGUUAACUGACUUUUCUUAUUUCUAGUUCAUGAAAGCUAGACAAGAUGCAAGAUUUACAUUUGAACAACACAAAAAGAGAGAGAGAAGUAGUGGAAGGUGGUGGAGAGGAAGAAGAUCCAUUUAGAACAAUAUUUAUUUUCCCAUUCGUGCUUUCAUUCAUUUAUUAAAUAAAAACUUUUUUU